CUGGCCCACAGGAUGCCAAAAUGACUCGAUGAUUUAUUUAUGCAGCGCUUGGCAGCCCAUCGUCCAGAUUGUGGCUGAAGCUGAAUUUUAUGAGCCUUCCCCCAAAAAUAUUUUCAAAUUGUCAUAUGAAGACUCAACAAAAAGAAAAACAGAGAAGAAGGAGGAAAAGAAGAAGAAAGAAGAAUAAAAAGAAAGAGAUAAAGAAAUAAACAAACAAAAUAAAA
rnacentral:lncRNA from 1 species